rnacentral:rRNA from 1 species
CGGCAGCACGGGAGCAAUCCUGGUGGCGAGUGGCGAACGGGUGAGUAAAGUAUCGGAACGUGCCCAGUCGUGGGGGAUAACGCAGCGAAAGUUGUGCUAAUACCGCAUACGAUCUAUGGAUGAAAGCGGGGGAUCGCAAGACCUCGCGCGAUUGGAGCGGCCGAUAUCAGAUUAGGUAGUUGGUGGGGUAAAGGCUCACCAAGCCGACGAUCUGUAGCUGGUCUGAGAGGACGACCAGCCACACUGGAACUGAGACACGGUCCAGACUCCUACGGGAGGCAGCAGUGGGGAAUUUUGGACAAUGGGCGCAAGCCUGAUCCAGCAAUGCCGCGUGCAGGAUGAAGGCCUUCGGGUUGUAAACUGCUUUUGUACGGAACGAAAAGGCUCUGGUUAAUACCUGGGGCACAUGACGGUACCGUAAGAAUAAGCACCGGCUAACUACGUGCCAGCAGCCGCGGUAAUACGUAGGGUGCGAGCGUUAAUCGGAAUUACUGGGCGUAAAGCGUGCGCAGGCGGUAAUGCAAGACAGAUGUGAAAUCCCCGGGCUUAACCUGGGAACUGCAUUUGUGACUGCAUUGCUGGAGUGCGGCAGAGGGGGAUGGAAUUCCGCGUGUAGCAGUGAAAUGCGUAGAUAUGCGGAGGAACACCGAUGGCGAAGGCAAUCCCCUG